rnacentral:rRNA from 1 species
UACGUAGGUGGCGAGCGUUAUCCGGAAUUAUUGGGCGUAAAGAGCGCGCAGGUGGUUGAUUAGUCUGAUGUGAAAGCCCACGGCUUAACCGUGGAGGGUCAUUGGAAACUGGUCGACUUGAGUGCUAGAAGAGGGAAGUUGGAAUUCCAUGUGUAGCGGUGAAAUGCGUAGAUAUCUGGAGGAACACCGGUGGCGAAGGCGGCAUCCUGGACCGACACUGACGCUGAGGCGCGAAAGCUAGGGUAGCAAACGGG